rnacentral:rRNA from 1 species
CGCCUUGCCAGCCCGCUCAGAAACUCAAAGGAAUUGACGGGGGCCCGCACAAGCGGUGGAGUAUGUGGUUUAAUUCGACGCAACGCGCAGAACCUUACCCGGUCUUGACAUCCCGAGAAUUUCCUGGAAACAGGAAAGUGCCUCGCAAGAGGAACUUGGUGACAGGUGCUGCAUGGCUGUCGUCAGCUCGUGUCGUGAGAUGUUGGGUUAAGUCCCGCAACGAGCGCAACCCUUGUCUUUAGUUGCCAUCAUUAAGUUGGGCACUCUAAAGAGACUGCCGGUGUCAAACCGGAGGAAGGUGGGGAUGACGUCAAGUCCUCAUGGCCUUUAUGACCAGGGCUACACACGUACUACAAUGGCAGGUACAAAGGGCAGCCACUUAGCGAUAAGGAGCGAAUCCCGUAAAACCUGUCUCAGUCCGGAUUGGAGUCUGCAACUCGACUCCAUGAAGUUGGAAUCGCUAGUAAUCGCAGAUCAGCACGCUGCGGUGAAUACGUUCCCGGGCCUU